ensembl:miRNA MIR4656 microRNA 4656
AGGCUGGCGUGGGCUGAGGGCAGGAGGCCUGUGGCCGGUCCCAGGCCUCCUGCUUCCUGGGCUCAGGCUCGGUUU